ensembl:lncRNA
CGCCCUCCCCAUCUUCUGUCCUCCAGUGAACAGCCUGACCCGGUCCAAGUACUGCUGACACCCAGUCAGGAGGAGGAGGAGGACCAGGCCGCGCCCAGACAGGACUCAGCUUUGGGCCAGGACCCCACCCACCCUGGAGCUGCGCUUGUCCGGAGCAGCCCUCACCCCUGUGAACCUUGUAGGGAGGUGGAGCAGGACGGAGGGGUAGGGAAGAGAGGGGAGGAGGGUGAGGCUGGUAGGGAGGGGGUGGGGGUGAGGCUGUGCGAGUUGCUGCAGGUGGGGGGGGUGAGCGUCAGACCUCUGGGGAGACAUUUGGCCAUUUCCCUGCCCUCGCUUCCUCUGCGCCUCUGGGAUCCGCACGGCUCACACCUGGAACCCCUUCACACACACCCUCCCCCCCCAUCCUCGCCUCCUCCCCCACCUUCUUCUGUGGAAUCUUCUGGGCCAAGCAAACCUUUCACGCCCCUCUGGCAGCCCCCCCGGCCCCACUCGUCCGCCACGGCCGCUCCGCCCUGGCCACCCGACAGCACGCCUCACUGGUCCUCCUGGAGCCUGGACGGUCCCAACGCGGUGGUGACACCAUACGACACCCCCCCAGACCGCUGCAUCCCCAUCCAGACGCAGACCUCCGGCCAGCACGCCAGCUUCAGCUGCCAGUCCUCUCCGGGUCACUACAGCUCCCAGCAUGCCCUGGGGCGCCACAGCUGUGACCACGAAGAGGCAGAGCUGUCUGAGCUGGACUCCCUAUAUCAAGCCAGCCUCUUAGCUGGGAGGACAGGUACACACACACACACACACACACACACACACACACACACACACACACACACACAGUGUUUUGAGCAGCAUCCUCCUCCGUGUGUGUGUUCAGGCUGCAGCCCGUCAGAGAGGCUUAUAUCCAGGGUGGGAGGGCAGGCUCGCUCCAAGACCCCCAACGCAGACAUGGAGAGGAGUGCGUACGGGGCGGACUGCACCAGAAGCCCCGCCUACCUCAACAAGGUGACGUCUAUGCAGGACUUCCGUUUGGGGGCGGAGCCUGAUGAUGGGGAGAACCCGAGGCGAAUCGGACGCAGCCUGAGCGGAACCGUGGUGGCGUCGCGUCGCGGUCGUCUGACCGCCACCCGCAGCUUUGUGAGUUGGACUUCCUGCGCUCUGCUGCCGCCUCGUGGCCGCGCUCUGGAACUGCACUUGCCUGAUGUCCUGUCGCUUCACAUUCUGCUGUUCCCUGUGCUCUUCUCCCCCUCUUGCUGUUCGUCUCCUUCCGGUCCUGCUUUUCCAUCCGGGACGUGUCCAUCUGUCCCUCUCUCUGUCUCUAAGGUGAAGCAGGCUGAUGUCAGUCCCCUCUCCCUGCUUACUUCCUCUUUUCUGAGUCCCUGUUGCUCCUCCACCACCAUCACCUCCUCCAUCCUCCUCAUCACCAACACCUCCUAUCACCACCUCCCUCCUCCGCUUCACAGGUAAAGACUGCACUGAGCUCAUAUGAUGUUUUAUUAAGGGGAACAGUCUCGGCUCCCUUUGGUGCCAGAUCGGACUCCAAUGACAAACUCUCCAUUUGGGAAUUUGGGAAUCUUCUUUGGGUUGUAAAACCAGAUGAAUCUGGCACCAAAGUAAGCGAAGCUGGUUUUUGUGCCUGGUAAAAAUGUGACGCGUCAAAACUUCAUAUUUUUCUGUCCCCUUGAGGUCAUUUUAAACUCCGUGCACGUUCCUGCCACCGUGCACGCUAGCUCAUGUUACACUUCCAUGAACUUCCUCUUAAAUUCAUCCAUGAACGGACGCCUCAGGUGAUCGUUUUACCCGUAAAUCUGCCCAAACCUCAGAGGUUGUGGGGCUCUGGUGGAUCUCUCUGGACCCGUGUUCUGUAGCAGCAGGUUCUGGCCCGGCCCGGGUCAGUGCUAACGUCAGCCGUCUGUCUCUCCUGGCAGGAGGUGUCGGGCGGCGCCGGGGCCUUCUGGUUGUGUCUGACAGGCGUCAGGUUGUCCUCCAACGGUCCCUCACAGCUUCAGUAACGUCGCAGCCUGGUCCGUCUCCAGCUCAGCCCCCCUACGUGGACCCGGGGUCGGCUCUGGGGGAUCGGCCCGCCAUCCUCGUCCUGCUCGCUGUAUUUUUUGGAACAUGCAAAGGCAGCCACAUGCACGCUCACAUGCACAGCUGUGCGCCCUGCUUCGCCUCCCCUCACCUUCUCACCUUCUUGUCUAUGCAGUCAUUCUGACCCCUAACUCCAACCUCACCCCCAGCGGGCCCUCGUCCUCCUGGGACUCUUGUCUUUGCCCCCCUCCUGGGCUCUCAGAGGGUUCCUCUGUGCGAUCAACCUGGUUGGAGAGCCUCGGCUCACACCUUCUCUGGAUCCCAUUGAAGCCCCCCCCACACACGGGACCCUCGGCUCAGGAGGAGGCUCUCACCACGAAGCCACGCCUCUUCCUCUUUCUUUAGGGCAUUUCCUGCUGGGACGCUCACGUAGCCUGAGUGACAGGCCUGUUUCUCCUUCCUGAGACGGAACUCUCAUCACAACCGUCUUGUACAGACAAACUGACGUAUGAAACCUGUAUGUUAGUGAAUAAGACCUUAUGGAAUGUUGAUAAUGAUCAUUAACAAAUCUUGGUACAUUUAACAGUGAUACUUCCUCACGUCUGCAUUCCCAGUAGGAGUGGAGUGCACUUCAAAAGUGUCUAGCUGGAGCCCCCCCCCCAAAAAAACCAGACUAAAACACUCGCUGACCUACUGACGGCCCUCCCGUUUCUACCGGGAGAUUAAACAGAGAAGCUUUUUUCUUUCCUCCCCCCUCGCUCUCGCUCUUUUCUUUCUCCCAAAGAGGAACUAGAAACAGGAACCACGGGCGGAAGGAGACGCAACAGGGAAACGCUUCGCCUGAGCGGAGCGAUGAUACAAGUGCACUUUGUGGAGGUCAGAGAUGUUUGAAAGGCUGCAGGUGAUCUUAUUACCCCCCCCCCCCCCCCCACUGAAGCCUGGAUGUGAGCAGGAGACUCGUCUUCACUGACGUGUCCAGCGUCAACGUGCUUUAUAUGACGUAUUUGAGGUAUAUUUUCAGAGAUGUCAACCCUUCCUCAGUUGUAUCGACCCCCCCCCGCAGCACCAAGGAGCUUUCUGACAUGUGCAGAGUACAUAUAUUCUAUGCUUUAUUCUAAAACCUAUGAUAACUAAGUCCUUAUACGAGAGGCCAAUGUAAAUCUAGCCGAAGUCGACAGAUUGUUGGAACUAAACCAAAGGUUGGCGCUGAACUCAGAGAGUCUGUUGAACGUUCGCCACUUUCUUUUCUUCUGGCUCCGUUUCUUGAUGGUUUCCUUGUUUUUCGGGUUCUGGAUGUGGGAGAAUGUAGCCAAUUGUAGCGCAUGAGUCUGCUAUGCAAAUCAACCCUCCCUCGCUAUCCUGUAUCAGAGACAGCCAGGAGGCCACACCCCCCCGCGACGGGCGCUCUCACCUGGAGAUGAAGAUGAGGAGGAGGAGGAGGAGGAGGAGGAGACGUUAAAGCUGCUGGGAACUUUGCUGCUCUGCAUCGAAGUCGCUCUUUUAACCGAUGGGAUGCAAAAAGAGCGACCUGCUGGGGAGGGAGAGCAGGAGUGAGUGAGUGAGUGUGACAUUAGUGACAGGGUGAACGUGACAUCAGGGUGAACGUGAACGUGACAUCAGGGUGAACGUGAACGCGACAUCAGGGUGAACGUGAACGCGACAUCAGGGUGAAUGUGAACGCGACAUCAGGGUGAACGUGAACGCGACAUCAGGGUGAACGUGACAUCAGGGUGAACGUGAACGCGACAUCAGGGUGAACGUGACAUCAGGGUGAACGUGAACGCGACAUCAGGGUGAACGUGACAUCAGGGUGAAUGUGACAUCAGGGUGAAUGUGAACGCGACAUCAGGGUGAACGUGAACGUGACAUCAGGGUGAACGUGAACGUGACAUCAGGGUGAACGUGAACGCGACAUCAGGGUGAACGUGACAUCAGGGUGAACGUGAACGCGACAUCAGGGUGAACGUGAACGCGACAUCAGGGUGAACGUGACAUCAGGGUGAACGUGUGUUUGUGAGCGAUGGCCAGAGAGGAGGGGAGGUGGCGCUGGUGGUCGGGUCUGUGUGGGUGUGUGUAGACUGUGUGUUAGUCCUGGGGUGGUGUUGCUCGGGGAAAGAGGGAACCUGUAUUUUUGCAAUAAAGUUAUUACCGAUGCACCCCCACAGGGGGCGCCACCACCAUGCUGGGUCUCAGCGUUGUCAUUUCAUGUUGAAGAUUGCCAGUUAAAAGCUAUCGUUUAAAUCCUCGUGCACGUUUAGCAUUUCUGUCAGAAAAGAGGAGUUAAACUGUUACAUUCCCCCAGUCAAACAUUCUCCUGCAACUAUCUCGAAGAUGAACCAAAGUCUCCAACUUGUCUGAACCAGCACUUCUUCCUCCCGCCACCAGGCGGCAGCAGUGACCCGCCGAGCCGCCACGCGGAGCGUUCAUCCGCACUGACGUCACGGACACGGUGUUAAGUUGGAACCAACAUCCUCCCAACCUGAUUUAAAGACAAACCUUGUUUCAGGUGUUUGCGAGUUCAAAUCUCUUGUUUUAU